rnacentral:ncRNA from 1 species
GAUCAAGCUAUAAAGAGCAUAGGGUGGAUGCCUUGGCACCAAGAGCCGAAGAAGGACGUGGUCAGCUGCGAUAAGCCAUGGUCAGCCGCAAGCAGGCAAUGACCCAUGGAUUUCCGAAUGCGGAAACGCGGCACGUUAACAGCGUGUCAUCAUGUCAUGAAUAA